UUACUGGACAUUGUAAGAACGG
rnacentral:miRNA from 1 species